rnacentral:rRNA from 1 species
AGGAUGAACGCUGGCGGCGUGCCUAAUACAUGCAAGUCGAGCGGCAGCGCGAAUAGUUUACUAUUUGGCGGCGAGCGGCGGACGGCUGAGUAACGCGUAGGAACGUACCCCAAAGUGAGGGAUAAGCACCAGAAAUGGUGUCUAAUACCGCAUGUGGUCUAAGGAUUAAAGCUUCGGCGCUUUGGGAACGGCCUGCGUUUGAUUAGCUAGUUGGUGAGGUAAAAGCUUACCAAGGCGACGAUCAAUAGCUGGUCUGAGAGGAUGAUCAGCCAGACUGGGACUGAGACACGGCCCAGACUCCUACGGGAGGCAGCAGUAGGGAAUUUUCCACAAUGGGCGAAAGCCUGAUGGAGCAACGCCGCGUGCAGGAUGAAUGCCCUAGGGUUGUAAACUGUCUUUUAUAUGUGACGAUUAUGACGGUAGCAUAUGAAUAAGGAUCGGCUAACUCCGCGCCAGCAGCCGCGGU